CCUACGGGGUGCAGCAGUGGGGGAUAUUGCACAAUGGGGGAAACCCUGAUGCAGCGACGCCGCGUGUGGGAAGACGGUCUUCUGGAUUGUAAACCACUGUCCCCAGGGACGAAAAUGACGGUACCUGGGGAGGAAGCUCCGGCAAACAACGUGCCAGCAGCCGCGGUAAUACGUAGGGAGCAAGCGUUGUCCGGAAUUACUGGGUGUAAGGGAGCGUAGGCGGGGAAGAAGGUUGGGUGUCAAAACUACAGGCUCAACCGAUAGUCGCACUCGAAACUGCAGCUCUUGAGUGAAGUAGAGGCAGGCGGAAUUCCUAGUGUAGCGGUGAAAUGCGUAGAUAUUAGGAGGAACACCAGUGGCGAAGGCGGCCUGCUGGGCUUUUACUGACGCUGAGGCUCGAAAGUGUGGGGAGCAAACAGGAUUAGAUACCCUUGUAGUC
rnacentral:rRNA from 1 species